rnacentral:sRNA from 20 species
UAUAACGAAGUACUUCGUUUUCAGCGAGUUACGCUAAAUAUCAUCUACCGAAGUAUUACUACUUUAGAGGGAGGGGUUAUUGCUUAGUAUCAAACGAGGGGCAUAAAAAAAGCGCCGGGAGGCGCUUUUUACAUUAC